AACGCAUAUUGCACCCUUUGGCAUUCCAAGGGGUAUGCCUGUUCGAGCGUCAUUAUAAAAUUUCAAGCCUACAAGCUUGGUGUUGGGUUAUCAUAUCUCUCUAUCUAUUUUAUGGAGGUUAUGUGCCUGAAAAUCAGUGGCAGUGCCUAAAUGACCUCAAGCAUAGUGGACACUCUUUGCUUUGGAGGCUUCAUUUUAGGUUUUGCUUGCCUUUUUUUUAAACUAAUAUUGAAAUGUUUGACCUCGAAUCAGGUAGGGAUACCCGCUGAACUUAA
rnacentral:misc_RNA from 1 species